AUUGAACGCUGGCGGUAGGCCUAACACAUGCAAGUCGAACGGCAGCACAGUAAGAGCUUGCUCUUACGGGUGGCGAGUGGCGGACGGGUGAGGAAUACAUCGGAAUCUACUUUUUCGUGGGGGAUAACGUAGGGAAACUUACGCUAAUACCGCAUACGACCUACGGGUGAAAGCAGGGGAUCUUCGGACCUUGCGCGAUUGAAUGAGCCGGUGUCGGAUUAGCUAGUUGGCGGGGUAAAGUCCCACCAAGGCGACGAUCCGUAGCUGGUCUGAGAGGAUGAUCAGCCACACUGGAACUGAGACACGGUCCAGACUCCUACGGGAGGCAGCAGUGGGGAAUAUUGGACAAUGGGCGCAAGCCUGAUCCAGCCAUACCGCGUGGGUGAAGAAGGCCUUCGGGUUGUAAAGCCCUUUUGUUGGGAAAGAAAAGCAGCAGGUUAAUACCCCGCUGUUCUGACGGUACCCAAAGAAUAAGCACCGGCUAACUUCGUG
rnacentral:rRNA from 1 species